CCUACGGGUGGCAGCAGUGGGGAAUAUUGGGCAAUGGGCGCAAGCCUGACCCAGCAACGCCGCGUGAAGGAAGAAGGCUUUCGGGUUGUAAACUUCUUUUCUCAGGGACGAAGCAAGUGACGGUACCUGAGGAAUAAGCCACGGCUAACUACGUGCCAGCAGCCGCGGUAAUACGUAGGUGGCAAGCGUUAUCCGGAUUUACUGGGUGUAAAGGGCGUGUAGGCGGGAGCGCAAGUCAGAUGUGAAAUCUCAGGGCUCAACCCUGGGACUGCGUUUGAAACUGUGUUUCUUGAGUGCUGGAGAGGCAGUCGGAAUUCCGUGUGUAGCGGUGAAAUGCUUAGAUAUAACGAAGAACACCGAUGGCGAAGGCAGCUCACUGGAGCGCAACUGACACUGAAGCUCGAAAGUGUGGGUAUCAAACAGGAUUAGAUACCCUUGUAGUC
rnacentral:rRNA from 1 species